GGUUCCGUAGCUCAACUGGAUAGAGCACCUGCCUUCUAAGCAGGGGGUUGUAGGUUCGAGUCCUACCGGAAUCGCCA
rnacentral:tRNA from 2 species